UCGAGCGAACAGACGAGGAGCUUGCUCCUCUGACGUUAGCGGCGGACGGGUGAGUAACACGUGGAUAACCUACCUAUAAGACUGGGAUAACUUCGGGAAACCGGAGCUAAUACCGGAUAAUAUAUUGAACCGCAUGGUUCAAUAGUGAAAGACGGUUUUGCUGUCACUUAUAGAUGGAUCCGCGCCGCAUUAGCUAGUUGGUAAGGUAACGGCUUACCAAGGCAACGAUGCGUAGCCGACCUGAGAGGGUGAUCGGCCACACUGGAACUGAGACACGGUCCAGACUCCUACGGGAGGCAGCAGUAGGGAAUCUUCCGCAAUGGGCGAAAGCCUGACGGAGCAACGCCGCGUGAGUGAUGAAGGUCUUCGGAUCGUAAAACUCUGUUAUUAGGGAAGAACAAAUGUGUAAGUAACUAUGCACGUCUUGACGGUACCUAAUCAGAAAGCCACGGCUAACUACGUGCCAGCAGCCGCGGUAAUACGUAGGUGGCAAGCGUUAUCCGGAAUUAUUGGGCGUAAAGCGCGCGUAGGCGGUUUUUUAAGUCUGAUGUGAAAGCCCACGGCUCAACCGUGGAGGGUCA
rnacentral:rRNA from 1 species